CAUGCAGUCGAGCGGACUUUAAAAGCUUGCUUUUAAAGUUAGCGGCGGACGGGUGAGUAACACGUGGGCAACCUGCCUGUAAGACUGGGAUAACUUCGGGAAACCGGAGCUAAUACCGGAUAAUCCUUUUCCUCUCAUGAGGAAAAGCUGAAAGACGGCAUCUCGCUGUCACUUACAGAUGGGCCCGCGGCGCAUUAGCUAGUUGGUGAGGUAACGGCUCACCAAGGCAACGAUGCGUAGCCAACCUGAGAGGGUGAUCGGCCACACUGGGACUGAGACACGGCCCAAACUCCUACGGGAGGCAGCAGUAGGGAAUCUUCCGCAAUGGACGAAAGUCUGACGGAGCAACGCCGCGUGAGUGAUGAAGGUUUUCGGAUCGUAAAGCUCUGUUGUUAGGGAAGAACAAGUACAAGAGUAACUGCUUGUACCUUGACGGUACCUAACCAGAAAGCCACGGCUAACUACGUGCCAGCAGCCGCGGUAAUACGUAGGUGGCAAGCGUUGUCCGGAAUUAUUGGGCGUAAAGCGCGCGCAGGCGGUCCUUUAAGUCUGAUGUGAAAGCCCACGGCUCAACCGUGGAGGGUCAUUGGAAACUGGGGGACUUGAGUGCAGAAGAGAAGAGUGGAAUUCCACGUGUAGCGGUGAAAUGCGUAGAGAUGUGGAGGAACACCAGUGGCGAAGGCGACUCUUUGGUCUGUAACUGACGCUGAGGCGCGAAAGCGUGGGGAGCAAACAGGAUUAGAUACCCUUGGUAGUCCAC
rnacentral:rRNA from 2 species